rnacentral:misc_RNA from 1 species
AUAGAAUGCAGCUGACUUGGGAAUGUUUGAAACCACAAGACAUCUGGUGAAAAAAUCGAUAGAUGUGCAUGUGUCUGACAAAUGUGAGUAUGUGAUUACGGUUUAUUUCAUUCUCCUUUUUGGUUUUUGAUGCAAGUUAAGGUUUAAUUGCAUAAAAGAAUCAAGACCUCAAAAGUCACAAUAUUAUUAUCAAGUAAGCAAAUUACAUAUAGAUGGAAAUUUCAGGACAUAAG